rnacentral:rRNA from 1 species
GGUUAGCGGCGGACGGGUGAGUACNNUGUGGGCAACCUGCCCUGCGACUGGGAUAACUUCGGGAAACCGGAGCUAAUACCGGAUAACACCGAAAACCGCAUGGUUUUCGGUUGAAAGGCGGCUUUUAGCUGUCGCUGCAGGAUGGGCCCGCGGCGCAUUAGCUAGUUGGUGAGGUAACGGCUCACCAAGGCGACGAUGCGUAGCCGACCUGAAAGGGUGACCGGCCACACAGGGACUGAGACACGGCCCAGACUCCUACGGGAGGCAGCA